rnacentral:rRNA from 1 species
CCUACGGGUGGCUGCAGUGGGGAAUUUUGGACAAUGGGCGAAAGCCUGAUCCAGCAAUGCCGCGUGCAGGAUGAAGGCCUUAGGGUUGUAAACUGCUUUUGUAUGGAACGAAACGGCUCCUCUUAAUACGGGGGGCUAAUGACGGUACCGUAAGAAUAAGCACCGGCUAACUACGUGCCAGCAGCCGCGGUAAUACGUAGGGUGCGAGCGUUAAUCGGAAUUACUGGGCGUAAAGCGUGCGCAGGCGGUUAUAUAAGACAGAUGUGAAAUCCCCGGGCUCAACCUGGGACCUGCAUUUGUGAGUGUAUCGCGAGAGUACGGUAGAGGGGGAUGGAAGUCCGCGGGUAGCAGGGAAAUGCGUAGAUAUGCGGAGGAAAACCGAUGGCGAAGGCAAUCCCCUGGACCUGUACUGACGCUCAUGCACGAAAGCGUGGGGAGCAAACAGGAUUAGAUACCCUUGUANUC